UACGAAGGGGGCUAGCGUUGUUCGGAAUUACUGGGCGUAAAGGGCGUGUAGGCGGUUCGCUAAGUCAGGCGUGAAAUGCCCGAGCUCAACUCGGGAACUGCGCUUGAUACUGGCGGACUCGAGUCCGGGAGAGGAUGGUGGAACUCCCAGUGUAGAGGUGAAAUUCGUAGAUAUUGGGAAGAACACCCGUGGCGAAGGCGGCCAUCUGGACCGGUACUGACGCUAAGGCGCGACAGCGUGGGGAGCAAACAGG
rnacentral:rRNA from 1 species